GACGAACGCUGGCGGCGUGGAUUAGGCAUGCAAGUCGAACGGUAGGAUACCUUCGGGUAUCUGAGAGUGGCGAACGGGUGAGUAACACGUAGGUGAUCUACCCUCAAGAUUGGGACAACCCAGGGAAACUUGGGCUAAUACCGGAUGAAAGCAGCAGUGAUGUUGUUUGAAAGGUGGCGUAAGCUGCCGUUUGGGGAUGAGCCUGCGCUCUAUUAGUUAGUUGGCGGGGUAAAGGCCCACCAAGGCGAUGAUAGAUAGGCGGCCUUAACGGGUGGUCGCCCACACUGGGAUUGAGAUACGGCCCAGACUCCUACGGGAGGCAGCAGUCGAGAAUAGUCUACAAUGGCCGAAAGGCUGAUAGUGCGACGCCGCGUGAACGAAGAAGCCCUUCGGGUGUAAAGUCCUUUUAUAUGUGAGCAGUGCUUUCUAUGUGAACAGCAUGGGGAGAGAGAUAUUAGCAUAUGAAUAAGCAACGGCUAACUCCGUGCCAGC
rnacentral:rRNA from 1 species